ACAACCAAAAUCACUGUGAAACCCUUCAGGGUCUUAGGCAGCCCUGAAAUAAAAUCCAUCGACACAUUCUCCCACUUCCACUCUGGCACACUUAAGGGUUGUAACAAACCUGCUGGUUUCUGUCUAGGUGCCUUAACUUGCUGACAUACUAGACACUAACUAACAAAUUCCGCCACUUCCUUUUCAUAUUCCGCCACCAAUAAAAUCGUUUUAGAUCCUGAUACAUUUUCGUGCUACCAGGAUGCAUUGGAAAUGGGGAAUUAUGGGCUUCAUCUAGUAAGUCAAUCUUAACUGUACUGUUCGCUGGCACACACAAACGUCUUUCAAACAUCAACCCACCAUCAGAGGAUAUGGAGAACUCAUCAGUCUGCCCUGUUUCAACAAGGCGACAUCUCUCCAUCAAAUAAGGAUGACUACUCUGAGCAUCAACAAUCUUCUGCCUUAGAGUCGGUUGCACCGUUAAUUGAGCCAACUGUGAGGUGACUCUCCCCACAGACACUGCAAUCUCAGCUCUCUCCAAGUCUCGAUGCAAUGGUACCUGUCUAGUAAUGAGUGCUGCCGAAUGUGAUACUUUUCUACUAAGAGCAUCAGCCACCACAUUCGCCUUACCAGGAUGGUACAAUAUCUCACAGUCAUAAUCUUUUACCAACUCGAGCCACCUUCGUUGUCUCAUAUUCAACUCCUUCUAAGUGAAGAAGUACUUUAGGCUCUUAUGGUCAGUAAAGAUUUGUAUCUUUUCACCGUACAAGUAAUGUCUCCAUAUCUUCAAUGCAAAAACCACUGCUGCCAACUCCAAAUCAUGUAUGGGGUAGUUCUGCUCGUGACUCUUCAACUGACGAGAGGCAUAAGCAACCACCUUACCUUUCUGCAUCAUAACACAACCCAGUCCUUUCUUGGAAGCAUCACUGUAAAUCACAAAACUUCCAGAUCCAUCUGGUACAGUAAGGACCGGUGCAGUAACUAACCUUUGCUUUAAGUUCUGAAAACUGUCCUCGCAAGCUGGACUCCAAACAAACGGAGUUCCCUUCCUUGUCAACUGAGUCAAAGGAGUAGCCAAACAUGAAAAAUCCUCCACAAACCUCCGGUAGUACCCUGCUAAACCCAGAAAACUACGAACCUCACCAACUGUAGAGGGUCGAGACCAACUGGUAACCGCUUCUAUCUUUGCAGGGUCUACUGAAACUCCCUCACUGGAAACCACAUGACCAAGAAAAGUGUCUAAGAAAUCCUUAAACACCCUGUUCAUCAAAUCCAUAAAUACAGCAGGUGCAUUAGUCAAACCAAAAGACAUUACUAUGAAUUCAUAAUGUCCAUACCUCGAACGAAAAGCAGUCUUAGGAAUAUCACGGUCUCUAAUCCUCAACUGGUGAUAACCUGACCAUAAUUCAAUCUUAGAGAACACUGUGGCUCCCUGUAACUGAUCGAACAAAUCAUCGAUUCUGGGUAAAGGAUAUCUGUUCUUGACUGUUACUUUAUUCAACUCUCUAUAGUCAAUGCAAAGACGCAUCGACCCAUCCUUCUUCUUCACAAACAAUACUGGUGCACACCAAGAUGACACACUAGGUCGAAUAAAGCCUUUGUCAAGCAAUUCCUGUAACUGUACCUUCAAUUCUUUCAACUCAGCAGGAGCCAUCCUAUAAGGGGCUCUAGAAAUAGGAGUAGUGUUUGGCUCCAACUCAAUGGCAAAAUCAACCUCUCUAUGUGGCGGUAGUCCUGGAAGAUCUUUUGGAAACACAUCUGGGUAUUCUCUUACCACAGGUUCUGAAGUUAAAGAAGUCUCACCUUCCCUAGUAUCCACCACACUUGCCAAAAUACUCCAAGUACCCUGGUUGAGUAGUUUACUAGCUUUCAUAGCUGAGAUUACUUUAGGCAGUACUACUGUUCCUACCCCCUUGAAUUUAAAGCUAGAUGCAGUAGGGGGACUGAACACAACUUCCUUACGAGAACAAUCAAUACUAGCAUGAUUAGUAGCUAGCCAAUCCAUACCUAAAAUUACAUCAAAGUCACACAUAUCUAAUACCAACAAGGUUACGUCCAGCACACGACCAGCUAUCUCAAUUUCACAUGCUUUAAUCUUUUCCUUAGACAACAUAAUUUCUCCAGACGGUGUAGACACUGACAAAACAUAGUCUAAGGGUUCCAUCUAAGCAUGCAUGCAUCACAAAAAGCGAUGAAAUAAAUGAAUGAGAAGAUCCCGAGUCAAACAAGGUCAAGGCAAAAUGCCCUAACACUGGUAAUGUACCUGUCACUAUUGUGCCGACCUUCUCUGCCUCUGAUCUAUUAGUGGCAAAGAUUGUACCACGCUGUGGAGGUCUCUCUCCCUGACUGCUCGAUCCAGCCCAGUAGAUCUCAAGGGACACCUAUCAGCCAUGUGUCCCUCUUGCUUGCACUUAUAACAGACUCUCGUUCCAUCAAACAACGACCCAGGUGGCGUUUCCCACAUGUAUUACAUACUGGCCUCUCUCGAGUAGUGUCUCCUGCACCGCCAGAACUCUGCUGGAAACUGCGAAAAGGAUCGCCUGGUCUCAAGUUCCUCUGAGGAACUCCUACAGUUCUCUACUCUACUUUUCUCUUUUGACCCGACGACGAUCCCUUAUCAAAGCUCCUUGGCUGUAUUUCAUCAUUCCCAAUGCUCAUAUCCACUGUCAGACGCAGUGCUUCAGCUUGGGUAGUGGGCUUUAGUGCUCGCACAAAGCCCCUAAUUUCAUCUCUCAAUCCCUUGACGAACCUAUCAGCUCUAGCCUGCUCAUUACUAACAAGCUCAGGGGCAAAACGUGACAGCAUAUCAAACUCCUGGUCGUACUCCUCGACUGUCAUAUAUCCUUGCUUCAACUCCAAGAAUUCCUGGCUUUUGGCGUCUCUAAGGUUAGCCGAGAAAAACUUGGUAUAGAACAGUCCUUAAACUGAUCCCAGGUAAUUUGCCUCAAUCUCCACCUAGCAUGCGCAUUGUAGUCCCCACCAGAUAAUGCCUCUGUCCCUCAGUAGAAAACAGCACACUGAACUCUGUGCUCCUCGGGACAUCUCAUGUAAUUAAAUAUGGUUUCCACAGAGGACAACCACAUUUCAGCUUUAGUAGGAUCCUCCAGUGACCCAUCAAACGUCUGAGGGUCAUACUUCUGAAAGUCCCUCAAAUGUUUCGCCUCAGCAGAAAGUUGGUUCGGUAAUCCUUGUGCACGAGGGGCUGCAGUGCAGGGGGAACUACAGGUGCAGUGGAACCGCAGGUUCCUGCUGGUUUUGAGCUAUAGCUGUCAUAAGUUUUGUAAACCUCUGCUCCAUGUGAGCAGACAGUGCAUCAAACUCAACGUGAGUCACGGGUGCAGCAGGAAUUCGCUGUUCAGCUUGACCCUCAGUAGGCUGAUUACGACCUGCGCCUCUACCUCGACCUCCUACUCCUCUACCUCGCCUCUACGACCUCCUCUACGUACACCCUCCUUGGCGGCAUAAUUCCUAUUAUCCACCAACAACACUCUUUAACAAAAUCUUAAUCAUAAGCAUAAGCAAGUCUUUAUCGUCAUGCAAUCUAGUUUAAUUUAGGCAAGGUCAUGCAAAUAAACCAUACAUAUAAGCAUCAAGCAUACCUGACGAGAGACGAAGGGUCGCGUUAGCCAUAGGAACACAAAAACAUAGACUUACAUCGUAAGUCAGUCUACAGAACCUAAAACUUAGGCUCUGAUACCAACUGUAACGACCAACUUUCUAUGUAAGUCGAGGUCGUUAUUAUUUUUUUUACACCUCACAAGAACCCAUAAGUGGAAGCAAAAACACGUUUCCUAUAGCAUCACGCUUCCUUCCUGCCCCUCGCCUGUUUGGCGCCUUUAUUACCUUUGCCUGAAAAUUAAACAUAAGAAGGGUUAGUAUUUAAAUACUCAGUAAGAGACCCUCUACUGGUCUCGUCAGGGGAAAAUAAAUUGUUAAAGUUCUAUUGGGACACCCUGUACAGUCGCAGUCUUGUGAUCCCGUAGGAUACACAUCUCAGUCUAACGCCUCGAGGGACGUACAUAUCAGUCUAACGCCCCGAGGGACGUACAUAUCAGUCUAGUGUUCUGCAGAAACACAUAUCAGUCAAAUGCUCCCGAAGGUGCACAAUAAAUUGGUGAUCCCGUGGGACACCUACAAGGUAAACAUCCCAAUACAAUCUAAAAAUUUUCCCCUCAUUCCAUUCAACCCAUCUUUCAGUUACUUCAAGUCACAAAGUUCUUUCUUUCAACAUCCUAACAGUCAACUUAUUUUACUACAGUCAUAUGUCUGUCAAUAAUAUGCUAAUACAUCAGUCAAUCCACUAUACAGUCAAUGCACCCCUCAGUUCACCAGCACACAGUCAUACUUUAGCGUAAUCAUACACCCAAUCUAAACGAGAAUCUCAUACAAACACAAUCUACAAUCUCCGUCCUGUCCAUAUACACACAUUUAUAUAUAGAUUCCAUGACAAUCACGACAUACAUUCGACGUCAAGUCUACUUCAAUUCAUAUACAUUCAUAUAUAUUUUCAGUCAACCCACAGUAUACAUUCAACACACAUACAGUUCACAAUCACAGUUCACAAUCACAAUUGAGUCCAGUAGAAAAUCCCUUACCUCGAUUUUAUGUAAAAUUUCUUGGUCGAACUAAUUCCAACAAACAAACCCCAAAGAGUAAAGAAUCGAAUUCCAACAAAGCUUAAGGCGUAACUCAAGGACAGUAACUCCAAAUCACCGAUGUCGCCUUCAAGAACAAACAUCAAUUCAACCAAUUAAACAAACAUCACAUCUUAAUGUAUUUACAAAUGUAAAACCUUAUUACCCAACAAUCUCAUCCUUACCAAUAACUUAUAACAAGACUUUGACAAUCAACGUUAAAAUAGAAGUUGCCGCAGCAGGAUCUACACAAAAGAAAUCGUGCAAACAAAUCUGCACGCGAAUCGGUCCACAAUUCGUAAAUGGACAGCGAGUAUCGACGAAGACAGAAUGGUUCGGACGUUCAACAGCAGUUACGCGCGGACGGGAGUAGCCCGGCAACGUAGCCGAACUCGUACGAUGCGGCGUGACCUGCGUCGGCGAGGCUGUUCGUGACUGAGGCGUGCGAUUUGCCUCGCGAACGGAGAUAGAGACGACGGCUGGGUUGGCUUCGACGGAGACAGGUGUUGCGCGGCAAAACUGGGCAGAGGCGGAAGAGCAACGGCAGUAACAGGUGGAUGGUCGUGGCAGUUUCGAUCCGAAGGAGAAAGAAAACGACCGGAAAGAAAAUAAGGGCGGCGGUUCCCGGGCUGCGACGCAGAUCUGGAUCAGACAGUUACGCGGCGGCUGCUGCAAGGCUGCUUCGCGAACGGAGAUGGAGAACGGAGUGGAGAAGAUGGAUAGGGGUCGCGGUCGCACGGGGAAGAAGAAGGGAGAAAAGAAAAGAAAAAGAAAAGAAGAAAAGAAGAGAAAAAAAUAAAGAAAUUUUUUAAUAUUAAAAUAAAAAUAAUAUAUAUAUAUAUAUAUAUAUAUAUAUAUAUAUAUUUACCUUUUCUUUGGGCAUUACAUAAUAUUACUUUAAUAGAAUUUAAUCCAUAUUUUCAUAGAAUAUUUAAUAAAUGAAAAUCUUAAACGUGGUUCACUUUUCUUUUUAUUUUUAAUAAUAUUAUUAAUAAUAAAAAGAGUAAAUUGGUUUAGAGGAUAUGCUACGAGCUUGUGUUAUAGAGAAUAUCAUACAUACAUAUUAACAUAUAUAUAUAUAUAUAUAUUUAGUUUUUAAAAUAAAGCAAUUCAGUUCGGUUUGAGAAUCGGUUCUUAACAUCUUAAACUGAACCGAACCGAAUUUUUAUGUGGUUUUUUUUAAAUAGAAAUCGAAUCGAACCGAACCAUAUGCAUUCGAUUUCGGUUCGAUUAGUGAUUCGAUUCAGUUUUCAACUUCAUUUUGAACACCCCUAUUACAGAUACUAGAGAAUAACAAAUAUUUUAAUGACAUAUAUUACAUAUACUCAUCAUAAUUAUUUCUCAUUCAUGUUCUUGUAAACAUAAACAACUUUCAUAUAUAAUUAAUAUUAUUUCAAACAUAAUGUAUUAUUUACUACGUAAGAUAUGAAUACUUAAAUAAAAUAAAUAAAUAAAUUGAUAUAAGAACAUUUCACUAAUAAAAUAUACAUUAUAUUAUUCAAUAUAUACUAUAAUUAUAUAAAAAUAUAUGAAAAAGAAUGCAAAAUAAAAAAUGACAAUUUUUUAAUAAAAUCAUAAAAAGCAAACUAAGGACAAUUUUUAUUAUUAAUAUUACUUUAAUAGAAUUAAUCCAUAUUUUCAUAGAAUAUUUAAUAAAUGAAAAUCUUAAACGUGGUUCACUUUUCUUUUUAUUUUUAAUAUAUUAUUAAUAAUAAAAAGAGUAAAUUGGUCAUUUUUACUCUAUAUUUGUAUAAAAUAUUAGUCAAUUUAUGAUAUUUUUGAAAAUUUUAAAAAAUUUAUUGCAAUUAAUUUUGUAACAUGGUAUACAAUUUUGAGUACACUUAGAUAAAAAUUCAAAAGAAAAAAAAUUUCACAUUAUAUAAGAUCAAGUCUAAACGGUAUAAAUUGAACCGCUGUUAAAACCGAAUAAACAAACCACACCAUUUAUGUACAAAACAAAAAACACAGUUUGUUGCUGGCUCAAAUAGUCCAAACCGAAUUUAAAUGGUUCGGCGUCUAUUUCAGCUUCAGUCUUCUGGAUUCAAGGAAAUUUUGAUCUUCCAAGUCUUCAAUAUUUCAGGAGAUGAUGAUCUCGAAGUUGAUAAAGAACUUGCACGUCUUGAGAGCUCUAUAGAAGUUUGAAUCUUCAAUUCUUCAAAGCUUCUGUACUUCAGAGCUUCAUUUCUUCCUUCAACAAAAGAUCUCUCGAAUGAAUGACAAAGGUCUCUAUUUAUAGAGAAAAUUUUGUGGACUUUAUGUGGGCUUGGACCCAUUUGCUUGUUGAGUUGUUGAGCUUGGACUUGGGCUUGGGCCCAUUUUCUUAGUGGGCUUAGGCCCCUUUAUUUGGCCUGAUUUUUUUAUCAGGGGCUUGAAUUGGGUUGGAAAACUUGACUACCCAAAUCCAAUCAAAUUAUAAUCAUCACAACUUGGGUGUGACGACGUGGUGUAAUUUCAUUGGUUGAAAUUUCUUGCUCAACAAUUACAUUUAUACUACUCCAUAAUACAUAUAUAUGUUGUUAGUCAUAUAAAAACAUUUACUGUAACGACCCAACUUUUCUAAGUAAGUCGAGGUCGUUAUUUUUUUUUUUUCAAAUAAAGACUUUGUUUAAUAUAAAACAAAACGUAAGCAAUUUAAAAAAAACAUCUUCAAGUCAGGCCUGAUUUUUAAAACAUUCAUAAAAUAAUACUAUUUACAACAAACGUUUGUAAACUAAAUUUCAAUCCAUUUUAAACCUCUCAAGAACCCAUAAGCAGAAGCAAAAACACGUUUCCUAUGGCAUCACGUUUCCUUCCUGCCCCUCGCCUGUUUGCCGCCUUUAUUACCUUUGCCUGAAAAUUAAACAUAAGAAGGGUGAGUAUUUUAAAUACUCAGUAAGAGACCCUCUACUCGUCUCGUCAGGGGAAAAUAAAUUGUUAAGUUCUAUUGGGUCAUCCUGUACAGUCGCAGUCUUGUGAUCCCGUAGGAUACACAUCUCAGUCUAACGCCCCAAGGACGUACAUAUCAGUCUAACGCCCCGAGGGACGUACAUCUCAGUCUAACGCCCGAGGGACGUACAUAUCAGUCUAACGCCCGAGGGACGUACAUAUCAGUCUAGUGUUCUGCAGAAACACAUAUCAGUCAAAUGCUCCGAAGGUGCACAAUAAAUUGGUGAUCCCGUGGGACACCUACAAGGUAAACAUCCCAAUACAAUCUAACAAUUUAUCCCUUCAUUCCAUUCAACCCAUCUUUCAAUUACUUCAAGUCACAAAGUUCUUUCUUUCAACAUCCUAACAGUCAACUUAUUUUACUACAGUCAUAUGUCUGUCAAUAAUAUGCUAAUACAUCAGUCAAUCCACUAUACAGUCAAUGCACCCCUCAGUUUCCAGCACACAGUCAUACUUUAGCGUAAUCAUACACCCAAUCUAAACGAGAAUCACAAGUUCAUAUCUACAUCUCAUACCAACACAAUCUAAAAUCUUCGUCCUGUCCACAUACACACACUUAUAUAUAUGUUCCAUGACAAUCACGAUAUACAUUCGACGUUAAGUCUACUUCAAUUCAUAUGCAUUCAUAUAUAUUUUCAGUCAAACCACAGUAUACAUUCAACACACAUACAGUUCACAAUCACAAUUGAGUCCAGUAGAAAAUCCCUUACCUGGAUCUUUAUGUAAAAUUCCUUAGUCGAACUAACUUCAACAAACAAACCCCAAGAGUAAAGAAUCGAACUCCAACAAAGCUUAAGGCGUAACUCAAGGACACUAACUCCAAAUCACCGAUGUCGCCUUCAAGAACAAAGAUCAAUUCAACCAAUUAAACAACAUCACAUCUUAAUGUAUUUACAAAUGUAAGACCUUAUUACCGAACAAUCUCAUCCUUACCAAUAUCUUGUAACAAGACUUUGACAAUCGACGUUAAAUAGAAGUUGCCGCAGGAUCUACACAAAAGACAUCGUGCAAAACACUUUUGCACGCGAACUGGUCCGCGACGGUGGGUAUCGACGAAGGCAGAACGGUUCGGACGUUCAACAGCAGUUACGCGCGGAUGGGAGUAGCCCGGCAACGUAGCCGAAUUCGUGCGAUACGGCGUGACCUGCGUCGGCGAGGCUGUUCGUGACUGAGGCGUGCGACUUGCCUCGCGGACGGAGAUAGAGACGGCGGGAGACGGUUGCAGAACCGUGGCUUCGACAGAGACAGAACCGGCUGAGACGGUUGGGCAGCGGCGGAAGAGCAACGGCGCCGCAGAUCUGGACUGGCAGCGGCGUGGUCUUGCUUCGCGGCAGGGCUGCGGACGGAAGAAGAAAAUGGAAGGAAAGGAUCGGCGGCUGGCUGCAGUUGGCUGCGGCGCGGACGGGAAGAAGAAGAUAGAGGUGGUGAUUGCGGCUGGGCUGCGGCUGGGCACGAACGGAAGGAGAAGAGGACGGUUAGGGCGGUUGCUGCACGAACGGAGAGAAGGGGAAGGAGGUCGCGGCGCACGGGAGGAAGAAGAAAAGGGAAAAAAAGAAAUUUUCAUUUUCUUUUUCUUUUUAUUUAAAAAAUAUAUAAAAUAAUUAUAAUAAAAAAUAUAUAAAUAUAUAUAUAUAUAUAUAUAUAUAUAUUAUAUAUUAAAUUUUCAUUUUCUUUUCUUUUAUUUAAUAAAAUGUAGAAUAAAUAUAAUAAUAAAAAUAUAAUUAAAUACAUAUAUAUUUAAUUAUAUUAAUACAUUUUCAAAUCUUCUUUCUCCCCUUCAACAUAUUUAAAAAAAAAAUCUUGAACAAAUCGAAAUAAUUCUCUCAAAAUAAUUUACCUUCAAGUUUGGGGCGUUACAUUCUUCCCUCCUUAAGAAACUUUCGUCCUCGAAAGUUCUAAUCCUGAAAUAACUCUGGAUAACGAGUCCUCAUCUCUUCCUCUCGCUCCCAUGUCGCCUCUUUAAUUCGAUGAUUCCGCCACAAAACCUUUACUAAUGGAAUGCUUCUAUUACAAAGCAUCUUUACCUCUCUAGCCAGAAUCUCCACAGGUUGUUCUACAUAGCUCAAAUGAUCAUCAAUCUCCAAGGGUUCAUAGUCCACUACAUGAGAUGUAUCGGCCACAUACUUCCUCAACAUCGAAACAUGGAAAACAUUAUGAACUGCAGAGAGUGAUGGUGGUAAUGCCAAGCGAUACGCCACAACACCAACCCUCUCUAAGAUCUCAAAUGGUCCAACAAAACGAGGACUUAACUUCCCUUUCUUCUCAAAAAUCAUAACACCCUUCAUAGGUGCUACCUUCAAGAAUACCUUUUCUCCCACAUCGAACUUAAGGUCUUUUCGCCGUACAUCUGCAUAACUCUUCUGUCUACUCUGCGCUGUUUGCAUACGUGCUCUAAUCUUUUGAAUAGCCUCAUUAGUAGACCGAACUAAUUCAGGUCCCAUCAACCUAUGUUCACCAACCUCACUCCAACAAACAGGGGUUCUACAACAUUUGCCAUACAAAGCCUCAAAUGGUGCCAUACCGAUGGUAGCCUUGAAACUGUUGUUAUAAGCAAACUCCAUCAAAUGUAGAUGAGAGUCCCAACUACCUGGAAACUCUAUAACACAAGCUCGUAGCAUAUCCUCUAAAACUUGGUUCAAACGUUCAGUUUGACCAUCAGUCUGUGGAUGAAAGGCUGUACUAAAAUCCAAUCUCGUACCCAUAGCAGUCUGAAGUCCCUUCCAAAACUUGGAAGUAAACCGUGCACCCUAUCAGAAACAAUCGAUACAGGCACUCCAUGCAGUCUCACAAUCUCAGUUAAAUACAACUCUGCCCACUUACUAGCAGUAUAAGUGGAUUUUCCUGGUACAAAAUGUGUCGAUUUCGUAAGCCUGUCUAUGACAACCAAAAUCACUGUGAAACCCUUCAGGGUCUUAGGCAGCCCUGAAAUAAAAUCCAUCAACACAUUCUCUCCCACUUCCACUCUUGCACACUUAAGGGUUGUAACAAACCUGCUGGUUUCUGUCUAGGUGCCUUAACUUGCUGACAUACUAGACACUUACUAACAAAUUCCGCCACUUCCCUUUUCAUAUUCCGCCACCAAUAAAAUCGUUUUAGAUCCUGAUACAUUUUUGUGCU
rnacentral:lncRNA from 1 species